UACACUCCUGCGGGAGGCAGCAGUGGGGAAUUUUGGACAAUGGGCGAAAGCCUGAUCCAGCCAUGCCGCGUGCAGGAUGAAGGCCUUCGGGUUGUAAACUGCUUUUGUACGGAACGAAACGGCCUUUUCUAAUAAAGAGGGCUAAUGACGGUACCGUAAGAAUAAGCACCGGCUAACUACGUGCCAGCAGCCGCGGUAAUACGUAGGGUGCAAGCGUUAAUCGGAAUUACUGGGCGUAAAGCGUGCGCAGGCGGUUAUGUAAGACAGUUGUGAAAUCCCCGGGCUCAACCUGGGAACUGCAUCUGUGACUGCAUAGCUAGAGUACGGUAGAGGGGGAUGGAAUUCCGCGUGUAGCAGUGAAAUGCGUAGAUAUGCGGAGGAACACCGAUGGCGAAGGCAAUCCCCUGGACCUGUACUGACGCUCAUGCACGAAAGCGUGGGGAGCAAACAGGAUUAGAAACCCGGGUAGUCCCAU
rnacentral:rRNA from 1 species